UUCAUCUGAAGACUUGGCAAAGAAGAUAAACAAAAAAAGACACGAAAAGCAACGAUAUGCCUGCUUUCCUGAAUUUCGAAUGAAAAAAUUACAGGCUGUGAAAACUCAAUAUGCUCAAAACUGUCAUCGCCGUAAACAAAACUGUUGUCAGCCAAAGGUUAUUAUGCAAAUCCUCAUAUUCAAGAGAAGAUAAAAGCCCACAAAGUGAAGAGAUACCAAAAUGAUCCUCAUUUUCAACAAAAAAAGAGAGACUACAUUAUCAGAAGAUAUACCACAGAUGCCAGCUUUCGAACCAGACAGAAACAAUAUGUGUUCCGAAGGUACAACACGGAUGCUGACUUUCAAAGCAGACAGAAGCAAUAUCUGGUCCAAAGGUACAACACGGAUGCUGACUUUCAAAGCAGACAGAAGCAAUAUCUGGUCCAAAGGUACAACACGGAUGCUGACUUUCAAAGCAGACAGAAGCAAUAUCUGGUCCAAAGGUACAACACGGAUGCUGACUUUCAAAGCAGACAGAAAAAAUACAUAAGAACAAAAUAUGCAUCGGAUCCAAACUACAGGCACAAACAAAAAAAAUCAUUCAUGCCAGGUAUCAUAAUGACUCACAAUUCAGACUGCACCAUAUACAGCGCUGUGCAGAGUACCAGAGACACAAAUGGCUACCACUGCAUCUUUCGCCAUUUAUAAAAAGUUGUGUGCGCAGAGAAUAAAGAAGAAAUACAGACGACUAGUAACACAAUUCCAGCAGGGUCCACAGUCUGAAGCACAGCCCCAGCUUGUAGUGAAUAGUGUGAUGCAAGCAGCCACAUUAGCUUUCCGUGAAA